AGAUUGAACGCUGGCGGCAUGCCUAACACAUGCAAGUCGAACGGGAGUAGCAAUACUCUAGUGGCGGACGGGUGAGGAAUACGUAGGAAUUUGCCCUUAAGUGGGGGAUAACCCGGGGAAACCCGGAUUAAUACCGCAUGACCUCGAAAGAGCAAAGUGGGGGAUCGCAAGACCUCACGCUUUUGGAGAAGCCUACGUCGGAUUAGCUAGUUGGUGAGGUAAUGGCUCACCAAGGCGACGAUCCGUAACUGGUCUGAGAGGAUGAUCAGUCACACCGGAACUGAGACACGGUCCGGACUCCCGUACGGGAGGCCAGCAGUGGGAAUAGUGGACAAGUGGGCGACGAAGCCUGACUCCAGCAAUCGGCCGCGUGUGUAGGAAGGAACGGUCCGUUAGGUUAGUAAAGACGUAACGUUUAAGGUUA
rnacentral:rRNA from 1 species